rnacentral:rRNA from 1 species
GGGUGAGAAUCCUGAUCGCCGUAAGCCCAAGGUUUCCUGGGGGCAGGUCAGUCCGCCCAGGGUUAGUCGGGUCCUAAGCUGAGGCCGACAGGCGUAGGCGAUGGAAAACAGGUUAAUUCCUGUACCGGCGUGGAGCGACAAAGACGUGAUGGGGGGACAGAGGGUUGAUGGUCAGCCUACGGUUAGAUGUGUAGGUUUAAGCUUGCGGGGUCGCAGUAGGAAAAUCCGCUGCGUAUGGCCUCGGGAGUGAUGACGAGCGCCUUGAGCGCGAAGUGAUCGGAGCCCCUCUCAAGAAAAGCCUCUAGCGAGCUCUAAGCCGCCCGUACCGUAACUGACACUGGUGGGCGAGGUGAAUAUCCUAAGGCGCUCGAGUGAAAUCUCGUGAAGGAACUCAGCAUAAUGGCUCCGUAACUUCGGGAGAAGGAGCGCCUCGGUGGUCGAAGGGUUUACCCCUUAGGCUGUUGAGGGCCGCAGAGAAAUGG